UACGUAGGGGGCAAGCGUUGUCCGGAUUUAUUGGGCGUAAAGAGCGUGUAGGCGGCCUGAAAGGUCAGCUGUGAAAACUCGAGGCUCAACCUCGAGACGUCGGUUGAAACCAUCUGGCUAGAGUCCGGAAGAGGAGUGUGGAAUUCCCGGUGUAGCGGUGAAAUGCGCAGAUAUCGGGAAGAACACCCGUGGCGAAGGCGGCACUCUGGACGGUACUGACGCUGAGACGCGAAAGCGUGGGGAGCGAACAGG
rnacentral:rRNA from 1 species